UGGGGAAUUUUGGACAAUGGGGGAAACCCUGAUCCAGCCAUCCCGCGUGUGCGAUGAAGGCCUUCGGGUUGUAAAGCACUUUUGGCAGGAAAGAAACGUCAUGGGUUAAUACCCCGUGAAACUGACGGUACCUGCAGAAUAAGCACCGGCUAACUACGUGCCAGCAGCCGCGGUCUUACGCAGGGUGCAAGCGUUAAUCGGAAUUACUGGGCGUAAAGCGUGCGCAGGCGGUUCGGAAAGAAAGGUGUGAAAUCCCAGAGCUCAACUUUGGAACUGCAUUUUUAACUACCGUGCUAGAGUGUGUCAGAGAGAGGUGGUAUUCCGCUUGUAGCAAUGAAAUGCGUAGAUAUGCGGAGGAACACCGGUGGCGAAGGCAGCCUCCUGAGAUAACACUGACGCUCAUGCACGAAAGCGUGGGGAGCAAACAUG
rnacentral:rRNA from 1 species